rnacentral:rRNA from 1 species
GGGCCCCGCACAAGCCGUGGAGGCAUGUGGUUUAAUUCGACGCACCGCGCAGAACCUUACCAACCCUUGACAUGUCUCGUAUGGUUUCCAGAGAUGGAUUCCUUCAGUUCGGCUGGCGAGAACACAGGUGUUGCAUGGCUGUCGUCAGCUCGUGUCGUGAGAUGUUGGGUUAAGUCCCGCAACGAGCGCAACCCUCGCCUUUAGUUGCCAUCAUUUAGUUGGGCACUCUAGAGGGACUGCCGGUGAUAAGCCGGAGGAAGGUGGGGAUGACGUCAAGUCCUCAUGGCCCUUACGGGUUGGGCUACACACGUGCUACAAUGGCGGCGACAAUGGGCAGCGAAGGGGCGACCCGGUGCAAAUCCCAAAAAGCUGUCUCAGUUCGGAUUGUACUCUGCAACUCGAGUGCAUGAAGGUGGAAUCGCUAGUAAUCGCGUAACAGCAUGACGCGGUGAAUACGUUCCCGGGCCUUGUACACACCGCCCGUCACACCAUGGGAGUUGGUUUUACCCGAAGCUGGUGCGCUAACCGCAAGGAGGCAGCCAACCACGGUAAGGUCAGCGACUGGGGUGAAGUCGUAACAAGGUAGCCCUAGGGGAACCUGGGGCUGGAUCACCUCCUUAAGGUGAAUCCCGGGAAUCGAAUUCCUGUGUGGAA